UACAGAGACUGCGAGCGUUAUUCGGAAUCACUGGGCGUAAAGGGUGCGCAGGCGGCCUGGCGCGUCGCGAGUGAAAUCUCCUGGCUCAACUGGGAGGGUGGUCGCGAGACGGCUGGGCUUGAGGCUCGGUGAGGGGCGUGGAAUUCCGGGUGGAGCGGUGAAAUGCGUAGAGAUCCGGAGGAACACCGACGGCGUAGGCAGCGCCCUAGACGAGACCUGACGCUCAGGCACGAAAGCGCGGGGAGCGAACAGG
rnacentral:rRNA from 1 species